GACAGAGGGGGCAAGCGUUGCUCGGAAUCACUGGGCGUAAAGCGUGCGCAGGCGGUUUUGUAAGCCAGAUGUGAAAUCCCCGGGCUCAACCUGGGAACUGCAUUUGGGACUGCAAGGCUUGAGUACGGCAGAGGGGGGUAGAAUUCCUGGUGUAGCAGUGAAAUGCGUAGAUAUCAGGAGGAAUACCGAUGGCGAAGGCAGCCCCCUGGGUCGAUACUGACGCUGAGGAGCGAAAGCGUGGGGAGCGAACAGG
rnacentral:rRNA from 1 species